UGUAAACAUUUAAUAUUUGUUCAGUUUGAGGAAGCGAAUCGAUAAUAGACGUUGGAAUAUGUAUGCAAUACAGACUAUAUUGCCGAUUGUAGUACUGGCUAAAAAAUACCCUUUAUGACAGGUAUACUGGAUUAUGAAAGACUGAUAAACAUAAAAUUGACAACUCAUCUCCCCAACGAUACUUUGUGUGGCUCAUUCUCGGAACAAACCCAUAGUCAGUGAGAAAACUACAGUGUAAAAAGACCACUUGAUUGUGACAAUUAUGGCUGACCAAGCAAAUGUUAUCAUUUAAAAUAAAGAAAACUUCCAGUUCAAUA